UAGCAAGCAGAGCAGCCUGACCAAAUAUUUGUGGCUAUACUGGUACAGCUCUGCCACUUGUCACUUCACCUGUUGGAUCGCCUGUCUAAUCUCAGAGUUGGACUAUAUUGCCUGUUAGAGAACAGCAGAAGAGAAAGAGAGGAGAGCUGGGAACCUCUGCAUGCUAUGGGAAAGAAAGCACGAUCUUCACUGGAGAUGAAAAAUACAGACAAGCUAAGUACGAGUUCUUUUGAAUAUACGUUUUAAACAAUUU
rnacentral:lncRNA from 9 species